UCAGAACUACGUCGUUUAUUGCCGUGAUGGCCAUAAGGCGAUCCGUGGUUUCGG
rnacentral:pre_miRNA from 1 species